rnacentral:lncRNA from 1 species
GAGAAUGCUUCCAAGAACCUGAAGGAGGAAAGGAGACGGCUUAGUUUUAUUACAGAUGGCUGCCAGCUUCAGGAUGUGCCUCAGUCUUUUUCCAUUGUUUCCAUUGUGACUGUUAACUGCAGAAACCCAGCCCAGAACCGAGGAUCCCAGGAUCUGCAUGUUGCAAGUGAUACCAAAGAGGUUUGUCAUAGCUUUUCUUCCAAGAAGGAUGCUUAUUCAGGCAAGCUGUUGUUGCCCAGACUUCAGAGGAAGGUUGGACAGAAACUUCUCAGCUCACAUUUGGAGUUACCAGAACAGUUUCCACGUGACUGCAAAAAACUUGACUUGGAAAGGAGUAAAACUCAGAGGAGGCCUUGGAUGAUGGUAAGUCUAGCAAGAAAGGACAGUCACCCUGGGUCAAGGCCAAAGGAGGGGCCAGCUGCAUCUAAGCGGAAUAGAAGUGAAGCCAUCCAAGAACAGACUGCUUAAAACUUUAAACCUGUGCCAAGUUUAUUGAGGAAUGUGAGACUGUGUACUUGCAAAUUACCUCAACACUAUAUCAUCUGUAUUCUGAAAAUUUCUCACACUGCAAUAGAGACUUAGAGCCUUUUCAAAUGUUUUUUAGUCUGUGAUUCUGCGAUCCUAAGUGAGUUGUGUAAGCUAUGCACUCUGAAGGUGCUGUGUUCCUGCGGACAUCACCAGGAUUGAGUAUUGCUGAGAAGAAGAGGGAAAAUGAAAAAAUCAGUGAUCUUUCAUGUGUGGUCUUGGGGGGAACUAUUUUGCAUUGUGAUUACCCAGAAACUUGUCCGAAGCAAGUGCUCAAAGGAACCCACUGAGAAGCGACUUAUUCAUGCCUUAAAUUUGAGUGCCCCAUCUGGAAACUGUCUGUCUUUUAGUCACAUUUGCAUGCUGGAAAAACUACAUUAAGAAAAAAAAUCACAGCAGAUAAUAAUUAUAAACCUCUAAAAUUUUUUAUUUGUUUAUUUAUUUUUACUGUGCUGGAUCUGCCUUGCUGCUCCGGCUUAUUUUUCUAGUUGUGGCAGGUGGGGGCCACUCUCUAGUUGUCGUGCGUGGGCUUCUCACUGUGGUGGCCUGUUUUGCAGAGCACGGGCUCUAGGGGCUCAGUAGCUGUGACACAUGGGCUCAGUAAUUGUGCCUCCUGGGCUCUAGAACACAGGCUCUCAAUAGUUGUGGUACGCAGGGUUAGCUGCUGCUCGGCAUGUGGGAUCUUUCCUGAUCAGGGAUCGAACAUACAUCUCCUGCACUGGCAGGUGGAUUAUUUAUCACUGAGCCACCAGGGAAGGCCAUUAAUUAUAAAUCUUCAACACAAUUAGAACAUAAGCUUGCUUUGUCUAUAUUCUAGCCAACUACAUUUGUGACAAAAAAAUAACAGAAAGCUAAGAAAAAUAUUAAUGAUUGAUGACAAUUUUUUCACAAAAAGGAAAAUAAAGUAUUACUAAUAAAUAUUAUUUGAGUCCCA